rnacentral:rRNA from 1 species
UGGGGGAUAUUGCACAAUGGGCGAAAGCCUGAUGCAGCGACGCCGCGUGGGGGAUGAAGGCCUUCGGGUUGUAAACUUCUUUUGCUCUGAACAAGGCAUGCUAAUGGGUGUGUUGAGUGUAGGGGUUGAUUAGCGCCGGCUAACUACGUGCCAGCAGCCGCGGUAAUACGUAGGGCGCGAGCGUUGUCCGGAAUUAUUGGGCGUAAAGGGCUUGUAGGUGGCUGGUUGCGUCUGUCGUGAAAGCUCAUGGCUUAACUGUGGUUUUGCGGUGGGUACGGGCUGGCUUGAGUGCAGUAGGGGAGGCUGGAAUUCCUGGUGUAGCGGUGGAAUGCGCAGAUAUCAGGAGGAAUACCGGUGGCGAAGGCGGGUCUCUGGGCUGUUACUGACACUGAGGAGCGAAAGCAUGGGGAGCGAACAGG